rnacentral:rRNA from 1 species
AUACGGAGGGGGCAAGCGUUACUGGGAAUCACUGGGCGUAAAGCGCGCGCAGGCGGUCUUUUAAGUUGGAUGUGGAAGCCUACAGCUCAACUAUAGAACUGCAUCCAAAACUAUUAGACUAGAGUCUGGGAGGGGAAGAUGGAAUUAGUUGUGUAGGGGUAAAAUCCGUAGAGAUAACUAGGAAUACCAAAAGCGAAGGCGAUCUUCUGGAACAGUACUGACGCUGAGGCGCGAAAGCGUGGGGAGCAAACAGGAUUAGAAACCCUAGUAGUCC